AUGUGCCCCACAUGUGCCCGCUGGAAGCUUGCAGGGAGACGUGGCUGCUGUACUGGAAUGCGGGCUGCUCCUUGGAUAACACUGGUUCCCUGCCCACCAGGGAACCAGACAACUGGCUGCAUGCCAGCAUUUUGGAACCUGCAGGAAGAGCUGGGGUUCCUAUUUGCCAAGAUCUCUGCAAAUGGCCUGGAUCUUUGGCUCAAGAAACAGUUCAAACUUGAGAGCCCCAGGCUGUUCACAAAGAUGAAUGUGAUUGGAUGACUUUGAAUCAUAUUGGGAAGUGUGGAUUCAGCCUAAAGGUGAAGAGAUUGUUCAGCUCACAUGCAGAAUGAUCCAGUGUCUGCCCCUCUGUUGUCAACACUUCGUUGUCUGAGCUGCCCAGGUAUAAUAACCUGCCUUCUUCCCCACUGGAGAUACACAGAGCCUGUCCUGGAAGAAGGGACUCUGCAUGGGAAGGAAACAUGGUAGGCUGCACAUAAUCCCUUCUUGGAAAGGAAACAGAACCCCAGACACGGGAGAAGUUCUCUACUUCAUAAAAUCUACUGACACUUUGAAUUGGGGCUAAACAAAUGUAAAUUUUCUUUUGUGAAACUAAGCAAAACCGUGUUGCCUUUUCUGUUACAAACUGAGAAGUGAAUAAGAUUUUAAUAAUAAAAUAAUAGCCACAUGAUGAGACUCUUUUCUU
rnacentral:lncRNA from 12 species